GGAUGAAUGCUGCACUCUCCUUGGGUUGGCUGUGUUAUGCUCCUGUGACAUAAUGACCGUGCCUUGCUUUGACCAAUCAUGACACGAGGAUGCACUAUAAAGCUGGGCAAGGGUUACUCACUGUUCUCUUGCUGCAACGUCAGGGGCACGCCCCGCUUCCCGUUUGCCUCACUUCCUGUUUGCCUCACUUCCUGUUUACCAUUGCUAACAGGGUCACUGUUGGGUGUCCAUAGCCAGAGAGCUGAGCCGCUCGCUGGCUGCUGUAUGUCCAGUUCGAGCCGUGAGCCGCUCGCGAGCCGUUACUGAAGCUGUGGGCCUCCGGUGGUGGGGACUGGUGUCUUCGGGUGGUGGGAACCCCUUCCUCUGUGGUGCGCUGCUCAUCCCCUGGUUGUUUUUUUUAUUUCUUCACUCAGGUGUGUGUGUGUGUGUGCGUGCAUGUUCACGUGUGAGUGGGGUGAUUUCUCCUGGGCUCCCUUGUGAUGCCCGUUGGCCCAAACCUCCACCAGAGAGCCCCCAGCUCUGAUUAGUCCCCAAACCCGUCAUUUAACAAUCUCGUGUGAAUGGUUGUUUUUUUUCUUUUAUUGGUUUUAAACUGAGUAUUUUUAGUAUUAAAUAAAAUUUGUAUUUUUUGCCUGCACUGGAA